AAAUACUCUUCUUACCCUUGUGUGUGUGUGUGCAUAUAUAUAUAUAAACUCCCUCGACACCGUCUUUCCUUCAGACCCGAUUCGUCCAUCUUCUGUCAAGAAAAGUCUCUGCUGUCCAAUUGGCUUCUUUCUUUGCUUCUUCUCCUCUACCGUCUCUCUUUUCUGGCAAAAACUGCUUGUUUUCCAGUCACGGUGAAUAGAUAGGCAUGCACUGUCUGAUCAUUCCAAAAUGGAUUGUUUAAAUCCAUACCUUAUUCAUGUAAAAGGGUCGUUGAAUUAAUUCCGGUGGGAAGAAUUUCUGCUGCUUUACCUCCAGUCUGAUUGGACCAGGCUCUGGAAUGUUUAUGUCUGUUGGGAUUCGUGAAAUAUCCCUAGUUCAUGCAAUAUAGGGUUCAAGAAAAGGCCCUGUUAACUUCGUGAAGGAUCUGCAUAUUUUGCUUGAUGCACUUAUUCAUCUCAUGUCUUGCAUGUGGGAAUGAGUUCUUGCAUUGCAGCCAAGGAUGACUUGCCGGCACAUGGCUCGAUUUGCCGGCAAGUCGUCCCUGGCUACAUUGCCAUCUCCUUUUCUCAUGCUGGACUCAUGAUGAUGACGACGACCAAGAGCAUGUCGCACUUUUGCGGAGAAUGAGGAAGCGAAUAAUGACAGUGGCAUCAAUAGGUUUGUGAAAAACUCCCCUUCUUCUCUUUUCAUCCAAUCAUCGAUUCAGUGUCAGUUCUAGUAGCUUGCUAUUUUCUUUGCUACUAAUAUUUUGUGAUGAAGAAUUUACUGAAAUGCGACAUCAUAAUUAAACUUCAAAACCUACUGGUUUGAGGAACUCAUAAUUGCGCUUAUGGAACUCUACUCUCUGGAUCAACAAGGACAACCUGUUUGGGAAAAGUUAAUAUUUUUCAGUUCCUUAUAGAGUUUUCAGGCAUGAAAAUUUGACAUUCGGUUAAUAUCGGGGCAGGGCUCUUUGAAGAAAGACAAAGAACAUCGAGUGUCUACAUCUGUUUUGAAUUUAUAAUGUCAAAUACAAGAUUCAUUCUUCAUGCUAGAUAAAUAGUUUAAUACUGCAGUAGUAGAUGCUUUGCUCAUUAUAACACGCAGCAGACAGACAGAAAAAAGGAUAGCGUGGGUUUUUUCAGGGACAGAGAAAACUCUAGGGUUAAUUAAGGUGGAAGUUAUCCGGCACCACCACAGUAUUCCGAGUUCAGCCAGUUUGCUUAAACAUUGAAAUUUCAUGCUCCUCCAGAAGUUCUUUUUGCAGGACUCUACCAUUUGCCCAUGAGGAAUGAGCUAUUACAUUUGUAAAUUCUAGCAUUCGAUCAUUCGGUGUCUAUAAGAAAUUCCUAAUGUUGUUUUUCUAAGGAAUCGAAAUACCAUUUGGCCUGAAGAUUAACUUGUACAUCUCCUUGCGGGAAGAACACAGUCAAAUCACGGUUAACACAAUUAAUGGUUGGUUGGUUCCGCCAGUUAGUCAAAAAGUUGAAGCCACUAUUGGGCACAGAAAAAUCUAAAAGUGCUAACACUAAAAGGAAACAUUAGCGCCUCACAAUCUGAUCCAUCCAAUCAGAGUCCACUUACAGCUUGGGUAAAUGCAUAUCACCAUCUCCGCACCUAUAUCAAAGCCUGAAAUUUCAAGAAGAAGAAAGAGUAUGGACCACUCACCAGCUUCACACCAUAGUCAAAGAACUACCCAUAAAUCCGAAACCAGUCGAGUGCAACAAGUACAAUGAAAGCUAAAAACCCUUUGAUUCUCACAUACAAAUUAACGAGGGAAAGACACAAACAGGAAACAGCUGAGUCUGAGGCAACAACAAUCAUGACAUAAGCAAAAUUUUACGAGAGAAAAGAAGAAAAAAAGAGCUGCUGUUGCACCUAGAGACCACGAAAUUAACCGAAGAAGCCGUGGAUGAUUCUUAGUUCAUCCAAAUGGCGAAGAUCAAAGUGAUAUAAGACCUUCUUUAAGAAGGAGAGCAAACAUAAGGAUGAGGAAGCCGAUGGUGAUGCACUGAGUGGAGGCGACCAGCGUCUGAGAAUAUGCGGACAAGGUGAUUACCGCGCCAACGGCUCCAAUCAGAAGAGCACUCAGAUUCCGAUUCAUUGUCGCUCUCCUUAAUUUUCUUCUUCAAAGAGAGGUUUGCAAGAUCUUUUUUGUACUUUGUGAGAAACCCAUUUCCGUCCAUUCGUGAUAUAGUCUCCAAGAACGAAAGUCAACUCCUGGUGGAUAUGGAUCUGGACUUGGACUUUUUAUUUUUGAAUACGUCAUCUAUUUUGACAUUUUUUAAUCGCGGCUAGGAUCAGCCCUUAAGUAGGAUGUAAAAAGAUCCAAAUUUUUGUUCUUUCAAUCAAAUUCUUGAACUUUUGAUGUGUCUAA